rnacentral:rRNA from 1 species
GACGAACGCUGGCGGCGUGCUUAACACAUGCAAGUCGAACGAAGUGGCGAACGGGUGUGUAAUAUGUGGGUAACCUGCCCUCCUUUUGGGGAUAAGCCAUGGAAACGGGGUCUAAUACCGAAGAAAGGGGGAUGGGCUCGCGGCCUGUUAGCUUGUUGGUGGGGUGAUGGCCUACCAAGGCGGUGACGGGUAGCCGGCCUGAGAGGGUGACCAGCAGCAUUGGGACUUGGAUACGGCUCAGACUCCUACGGUAGGCAACGGUGGGGGAUAUUGCACAAUGUGCGAGAGCCUGAUGCAGCGACGCCGCGUGGAGGAUGUAGGCUUUCGGGUUUUAAACCUCUUUCGCUAUCGAACGAGUAAGUGGAGGAGGAGCACCGGCUAACUACGUGCCAGCAGCCGCGGUAAUUC